CNGGGGAAGAGCAUGCGUUGUCCNGGAUUUACUAGCGCAUAAAGGGCUCGUAGGUGGCUAAUUAAGUUAUAUGUUAAAUACCACAGCUCAACUGUGGACCGGCAUAUAAUACUGAUUAGAUAGAGUACUGUAGAGGAAGGCGGAAUUCUUGGAGUAGCGGUGGAAUGCGCAGAUAUCAAGAAGAACACCAAAAGCGAAGGCAGCCUUCUAGGCAGAUACUGACACUCAGGAGCGAAGGUGUGGGUAGCGAACAGGAUUAGAUACCCUGGUAGUCCACACAGUCAACGAUGAUCACUAAGUUUUGGUGAGAUUAUAAAUUAUCAGAGCUGCAGCAAAUGCAUUAAGUGAUCCGCCUGGGGAGUACGUCCGCAAGGAUGAAACUCAAAGGAAUUGACGGGGACCCGCACAAGCGGUGGAGUAUGUUCUUUAAUUCGAUGCAACGCGAAGAACCUUACCUGGACUUGACAUCCGCGAAAUCACCUUUAUCCGGUGAGCGCCUCGAUUUAUCGAGGAAUCGCGUGACAGGUGCUGCAUGGCUGUCGUCAGUUCGUGUCGUGAGAUGUUGGGUUAAGUCCCGCAACGAACGCAACCCCUGNUCUUUAGUUACCAGCAUUAAGUUGGGGACUCUAGAGAGACUGCCANGGUGACAACUUGGAGGAAGGUGGGGACNACGUCAAGUCAUCAUGGUCCUUACGUCNAGGGCUAAAAACGUACUACAA
rnacentral:rRNA from 1 species